CACAAAUUUCUUUCGUUUUUGCUUCUCUUCGUACGCACUCCAUUCAACCCUAAGUCCACAUUUUUCUCCAUCCUCUGCCGCCAUGACUGCGUCUUUCUUCAUCGUCGCCGCCGCCUGAAGCUCUGCUCUGUUCAACUGGAGUUAUAAUUCAGGUACAAUUUGAAGCUUAGUUUGGUUAGAGGUCUAACUUAAAUUUCAGAUAAUGUUGAAAUUCCAUGCCAUUUGAGUUUUGCCAUAGUUUCAUACUUUCAUUGAUCUUGGCUCUCGUGUUCCUAAGACUAUAUUGCCUUAGUUAUUUGUGAAGCAUCAAAGUUGAGGAUGUCAGUAAUGUAGCAUUAUUUUUGAAUUAAUAAAAAUUGAUGUAUGAUUAGCAUUUUGUAUAUAUUUUAAAAUCUCGCCACCGGCAAUGAUGGUAGAAAAUUAUCAUUCGUUAAUAUAUUUUAAGCUUCCUACAGGUUGCAGGAAUACACAUUAGAGACAGCCAUAGCAACCAUCAUUGAUGGUAGUGAUUUCUUGAAAAUUAAUACCGAACAUCUGAGGGAUCUUACCUACAAAGUUUGUUCUAUCUUACCUUCAAAGUUUAUUCUAUCUACCAAUUCAUUGGUGAGCUUCAAAUCCGAUCUGAGAAAUGUUGAUUAGAUGAUCUCAAUCUUUAUCAUCAGUCACUGCUACUUCUAAGACAGUUUCAGGCCAACCAUCUCAAUAAUCCAGCAAGUUAACUUUUGUAGGAUAAUUUGCUGGCACAAACUGUCAUAAUAUACUAAUUUAAAUGUAAUUUUUUCUCUCUCCAAAAUUAAAAAAGAUAUAAUGUUGCUCCUUGAAAUAUAAGAGCAUUUCUAUGUGAUUUUAAGAGAAUGCUAUGUCCAUGAACAUUAUAUAUUCUGCAGUGCUCAUCACGUGAACAGAAAUUUUCACAAGGUUCAUCACUUUUGGUUACUCAAUAGCACUUGUUGCACAUCAGAUCAAAGGGUGUCUUAACUUUUAAAUAGAAAAAAAAAUUGAAAAAAUCUAGUUAUCAACAGAGUUAAUUAAUAUUUUUUUAAAUAUCAAUUGAAAAUAAUUAUGACCAAUCUCAAUCUUUAUUUAAAUAUUUCCUAUUUUCAUGGCUUCAUCUUGUUUGAAAGUUUCCUUAACGGUCACUUUUGGAAACUCUUACUUUUACCAAAUGCUGUAGCAUAUAUACAUUAUUCUCUUUUGAAGACAUAGCAAAGAAAUGCAUGGCGUGUCUCGUAGAGUGCCAACAAUUUUUGCCCCCAAAAUCUCACAUAAAAGAAUCUUUGUAUUACACAGACCUCUUGAACCUUUGCAAACCCACCAAUUGCAUAAAACAGACGCAUGCCCAGAUUGUUGUUAAUGGUCACUAGUAUCAAUUUCAUACUGGAAUCAUGUCAUUUGAUGAAUUGUCACAAUGUUUCGUAAAUAUUAUGCAACUAAAUAAGUGAACAGGAAUAAUAUUUGGUGAAGAUUGAUCCUCUUAAACUCUUCUAUUCAUAACUUGAUAAAACAAUUUGUGAACUGAUAAAACAAUUUGUAUCACUCCACUUGUUUUCAUAGAAAAAUUGAAGUCCACCAACAUGGUCUUGUAGGAGAACAGUGAGGAAGCUAGAAUCCCAAUGAAUGUUCAAUAUUUAAGAUUGUUUAAUGUCCUGUAUCCAGAUACCAAACAACAAUGUGAAAAAACUUUCAUCUACUAAGACGGAUCAUGAAUAAGACUA